rnacentral:rRNA from 1 species
GACGAACGCUGGCGGCGUGCCUAAUACAUGCAAGUCGAGCGCAGGAAGCCGACGGAACCCUUCGGGGGGAAGUCGACGGAAUGAGCGGCGGACGGGCGAGUAACACGUAAAGAACCAGCCCUCAGGUCUGGGAUAACCACGAGAAAUCGGGGCUAAUACCGGAUGGGUCAUCGGACCGCAUGGUCCGAGGAUGAAAGGCGCUCCGGCGUCGCCUGGGGAUGGCUUUGCGGUGCAUUAGCUAGUUGGUGGGGUAAUGGCCCACCAAGGCGACGAUGCAUAGCCGACCUGAGAGGGUGAUCGGCCACACUGGGACUGAGACACGGCCCAGACUCCUACGGGAGGCAGCAGUAGGGAAUCUUCCACAAUGGACGAAAGUCUGAUGGAGCAACGCCGCGUGAACGAUGAAGGCCUUCGGGUCGUAAAGUUCUGUUGUAAGGGAAGAACAAGUGCCGCAGGCAAUGGCGGCACCUUGACGGUACCUUGCGAGAAAGCCACGGCUAACUACGUGCCAGCCGCCGCCGUAAAAC